AACGAACGCUGGCGGCAUGCCUAACACAUGCAAGUCGAACGAGACCUUCGGGCCUAGUUGCGCACGGGUGCGUAACGCGGGGGAAGUUGCCCGUAGGUUCGGAAUAACUGCCCGUAAGGGGUGUUAAUACCGGAUAAUGUCUUCGGACCAAAGAUCUUUCGCCUUGGGAUGGGCGCGCGUUAGCUUAGUUGGUUGGUAGGGUAAUAGCCUGUCAUGGAGACGUUCCUUGGCUGGUAUGUGAGGAUGAUAUACUACGCUGGAGAUGAGACACGGACCAGACUCCUACGCAGGGGAGCAGAGGGGUAUAUUGUACGAGGGACGAAGACCUAGUACCGCAGUGUCGCGUAAGUCAUGCAGGCCUUAGGGUUGUAAAGCUCUUUUACCCGAGAUGAUAGUGACAGUACCGGGAGAAUAAGCACCGGCUAACUACGUG
rnacentral:rRNA from 1 species